CUCUCGGUCUCCCUCUCCCUCUCUCCGGACGCUGCUCGACCUCCAAUCGCUGAGUCGAUCGGAGAAUUCGCCGUCUGGAAGAGGUGGAUAAAUGAAGAAAAUGGACAGGAGUGGAAGAAGGCAGGAAGAAGGGCAGGUGCACAAGGUGGGAAGCAUGAUGAAGUCGCUGCCUUCGCAGACGCAGGUGUUUUUGAACGAGUGGUGGCUAGUCAAUGCUAAUGGAAAGGGUUUGGCUAUUGGAGGGUUUGCUCAUAGAGACAGUGAAAGAGUAAGCCUUUUUUGCUCUGCACCAAUUGUGAAGAGGCACGAUAUUACCACCUUUGAGACAGCAGAUGGCAUGGCAAUUAUGGUUGGUGGUCUAAUCAACCGGCUACGAACCCUGGAAAAUGGAUUUUCCACAAAGGUGUGCAACAAAUUCUUGCUUGGAUUUCCAUAUGACUGGGCAGAGUAUUCAACUUCCAGCUGUGGUGAAUACUCUAGUGUCCAAGCUGGUUCAGUUAAGGCUGCAGCUUCCAAGAAAACUGACUUCCGGUCAAGGAGCACUACAAAUUACUUUGAGGCAACUUCUCUUGAUGAUGUUACUGUGCCAAAGUUACGUGAUCUAUUUAGUCUGGGCGAUCUUGAUGAUUCUUUCUUGAUGAAGAAAAUAUAUGAUGAUGUUGUGGGCAUGUCGGGAAGUGGUGCUGAGCAUGAUGGAGAAUUUCUUCGUUCAUGCAGAAAAAGUAGUCCCAGUACAGCUGCUGAAAGCCAAACUAAUGAAGCUCAAAUCAAUGAUAAGAAAUCAAAGGAGGAUGUGUUGUGCAAACACAAAGAGGACAUCUGGUCUACAAGAAAAAUUGUGAAGAAAGUAAACCAUAAAAGUGGUCGUCAAUUGAGGGCCAGUUAUGUUUUUAGACGAAGGGAAGGUGUUUCAACUAGAAGCAUGACUAGAUUUAAGGGGCUUUAAAAUUAGUAAAGGUAUAAAUAGGCCCGUGUGCGGUUCAGAUGCAUAACUCAUAUCCAGUAUCAUGGCGCACCAAGUUGCUUGGGGCAUUCGCCUGGAUUUUGGAGCUCCCUAUAAAAGAUGGCCAAUGUCAUCUCUUCUGCUUCUGAAGAAAAAGAAUCUCUUCAAACUCCCAUAACUCCACUUUCUCCAUCAUCUGAACAGACUUGAGGUUUUCCUUUUCCUGUUGAACAAGGCGCUUUCAGUCAUGCUUUGCCUAAUAAAUAUGGGUGCAAUGGAGACCCUGGCAUUGCCUCCAGUGUUGAGGGUGUAAUUAAAAGGUUGUGCCAAGUGAAGUAAUCAUGAAACUGUAUUUUGGAAUUUGUUUCUAGGAAAUGUGAUGGGCCUGGCAAUUCUUCCAAAGCGCAGGAGUCCAUCACUUUCAGGAAGUUAUCAAGGGGAAUUUUCCGGAAGAAACCAAGGGGGUCUCUGUUUGUGAAAGUAUGGUUGAGUCAUCUUUUUUGGAUUUUGAUGGAGGUGGGGCUUCUUGGUAAAGGCAAAAAGUAUGGCUGAAUCUGUUGGAAAUCAGUUGUUUAAUGGUCUCAAAGUUGGGUCGAUAUUCUCUAAUAAUAAUGUGAUAGGAGGUGCUUCUAAUGGGGACAAAAAUCUUCUAGGAAGGGAGGCAUUGCCCAAAUCAAUGGCUCUCUUAUCUGUCCAUUAAAGAUUGAAGUUGUUGAUGAUACUGCAUCCGAUGAACUCGUGUCAUUUGCUGGAAUUGGAAAUAGGGGGGACAAGGAGAUGGGAGACACAAAAGAAGUGGCAUAUGGAAAGAAGACGAAAUGGCUUUGGACGAAACAGAAAUGUGCAAAAAUGUUUACGGAGAACUGUGACAAGUUAGUGCAUUUUUCUUAACCUAUAUAUACUUGUUGAACAAAGGGAGACAACCAAAAGGUCUUCUUGGGAAGAAGUGAAGGCCCUGAGGCUUAUUAAUACUUCAGAACAGUGAAGCUGUGCAGAGAGAUUUAUAUGGACUGGGCCUUGCUAGUCCAACCUUGCUAGUUCUAAGCAUCAGGUGCAGUCUACUUCGAGAUUUUCUCUCCUCCAUCAGUCUCUUGGGAGGAGGGCACAGGAUCCUGGUAUUCUUGAUGCAGUUGCUGGAAGUGGAAAGAGGGAAAUCACAAGAAUUUCUUUGUUCCCACACUAAAAACCAAACGGGAAACAAAUGGGUCAUCUGUCUCUUGAUUACUUCCGCAAGGUGGUAGUUGUGACGAACGAGUGUGCGGAACUACUACAAAACACAGGGCAGUGAAACAGAUACACAAGCAAACCUCAAAUCCUCUCUCAACUGGACUCGACUCGAUCUCCAUCCAACCAACUCACUCCUGCAUCUCCGCCCACCCAUCCUCUCUUCUCGGCGAUCAGAAUUGAGAACUCUCGCCCUGGCUCUUUCUCCUUGUCUCUCCACAUUCUCUCCAGCCUUGUACAUAAUAAGGGUGUUUGCUGGUCACUUUUGUUCACGUGGAAUAUGAGGAUUUUGGCUGGAUAAACAACUUAGCAGUGUGAUGAACUGGCAUGAAAAUCCACAGUGGAAACCUCAAAGCCUGCCACUGCGGAUCCUAAUCUGGAUAAGGAUGGGUUGGAUCUCCUUUAUUGAAAUGGCAACAAGAAUGAGGAUACAGCAACAUAUGGCAAUCAGAACAAGAUUAUUAUACCCUGAUAAGGUCCGCUGCAUAUCGAUAAUAUGAGUACUCUGGGAGGGGGAAGAUGAAAAAUCUGUACUUCACAUUGAUCUGGUGAGAGUAAUCAGGAUAAAGAACAGUUUACUAAUCCAAACCGUGAUGGUCGGGCUCUUGGUCCAUCGGAGGGUCUCAAUCUGUUGACAACAUUCAAUCAUCCGAAUGUCUCAUUUGACUAUAAGCCCCAAUUGAGCUUGGCAUGUGGAGGAUUCUUUUCACUGAUAUUUCAUAUGGAAAACAAGUUUUUAGCAAAAAGGUUGAAAGACAGAUCAGGAUCCCAUGAAUGCGAUAUGGAUUGAGGUCAAUAAGAGGAUAAUCUAGAUAAUGGGAGGACCUACAGACCAGUAGGACUUACAAACUGAGAAGGUAAAUAGCAGCAAAGAGCUUAUCUACAUCCCAAAAGGGCACGAGGAAGGUGACUCAUGCACUGCUUCGCAUGAGAUGGCGAUAUAAGUUAAAGUCAUUUGUUGCUGACAAGCAAAAUGAGAGACCAUCGCAGGGCCGUGACAUUCAUAGUACCAUGUCAUAAUACUUGUUAUGGGGCACAUUAGAUGUUCAGAUGCUGGAAAAGGUGGUUCAUGGAAAAGACAGGAUAGAGAAGCCUACUGUGAUCAAACAACUGAACGAUUGUAGGAUUUUGAUGACUGGAUUACUCUUCCUGAGAGCUCAACAUGGGAGCGGUGCCUGAGGAGAUUGCAGCGCAAAUAUCAUCUGAUUUAGUUAAAGCCUUUGAAAUCUGACAUUUCAGACUUGGUGAAAAGAGUGCUGGAGCCCGAUAUAUUCUUACUUGUUCUGGAUGACAUUCCUCAACUUCUAAAUCUGGAGUCAACGGGGAUUCCUGAGCCAACGCCACUGAACGGUAGAAACGGAACUUGGCAACCAAAGAACAAGUUUGAAGCAAAAUGGCAGUGGACAGGCAUUGAGACCUAAAUUUUGGCUACCAUAUUUAAUUCUUUAUCACAAGAAAAUUAGGGGUUGGUCCAGCCCCAAAACAAAAAUACCAUUAGCUUA